rnacentral:tRNA from 1 species
GCCCUCGUAGCUCAGAGGAUAGAGCACAGGAUUCCUAAUCCUGGUGUCGGACGUUCGAGUCGUCUCGGGGGCACCA